UGAAUAAAGUAUGGCUCAGAGUAAACCACUAUGGCACUUAAGUGGUUUACUCAAGUCACACGGAGAGUAAAUGCUGGAGCCCGAAUUCAAACACAGAUGGUUUCAAUCCAAAUCUCAACCUCUUUCCACCGGUUCUCCUGACUUCGUGCAGAUUUCAUGGAAAUGAGAAUGAAAGUUGGACCUUGCAACUCAAAGAUCAGUAUAUGGAAUGGAAGAUAAUUACAGACCUGCUAAUUCUGAACAUUUAUGACCUCAACUGCUUAGUUCCACUCCCCGCCCCACCCCAGGAAAAUGGCAAGUGGAAAUACCCCAGCUGGCUCUAGAAGCUAUUGUAUGUACUCUCAGGGGUGUUGACUUUCGGGUCAUGAAUGCAUUCACUUCAAGAGAGGAGGGAGAAGAUGUUAGAAGAUGCAGGACCA
rnacentral:lncRNA from 1 species